rnacentral:rRNA from 1 species
UACGGGGGGAGCAAGCGUUGUUCGGAUUUACUGGGCGUAAAGGGCGCGUAGGCGGCCAGCACAAGUCAGUUGUGAAAUCUCCGAGCUUAACUCGGAAAGGUCAACUGAUACUGUGCGGCUAGAGUGCGGAAGGGGCAACUGGAAUUCUUGGUGUAGCGGUGAAAUGCGUAGAUAUCAAGAGAAACACCUGCGGCGAAGGCGGGUUGCUGGGCCGACACUGACGCUGAUGCGCGAAAGCUAGGGGAGCGAACGGG